UUAAUUAAGAGUUUGAUCUUGGCUCAGGAUGAACGCUGGCGGCGUGCUUAACACAUGCAAGUCGAGCGAGAAGUUUAGUAAUGGAUCUUCGGAGAAGUUAAUAAAC
rnacentral:rRNA from 1 species